AUACAUAGGGGGCAAGCGUUAUCCGGAAUUAUUGGGCCUAAAGCGUCCGUAGCCGGUCUGAUAAGUCUCUGGUGAAAUCCCACAGCUUAACUGUGGGAAUUGCUGGAGAUACUAUCAUGACGCGAGGUCGGGAGAGGCUGGAGGUACUCCCAGGGUAGGGGUGAAAUCCUGUAAUCCUGGGAGGACCACCUGUGGCGAAGGCGUCCAGCUGGAACGAACCUGACGGUGAGGGACGAAAGCCAGGGGCGCGAACCGGAUUAGAUACCCGGGUAGUCCUGGCCGUAAACGAUGUGGACUUGGUGUUGGGAUGGCUUCGAGCUGCCCCAGUGCCGAAGGGAAGCUGUUAAGUCCACCGCCUGGGAAGUACGGCCGCAAGGCUGAAACUUAAAGGAAUUGGCGGGG
rnacentral:rRNA from 1 species